GACGAACGCUGGCGGCGUGCUUAACACAUGCAAGUCGAACGGAAAGGCCCUGCUUUUGUGGGGUGCUCGAGUGGCGAACGGGUGAGUAACACGUGAGUAACCUGCCCUUGACUUUGGGAUAACUUCAGGAAACUGGGGCUAAUACCGGCUAGGAGCUCCUGCUGCAUGGUGGGGGUUGGAAAGUUUCGGCGGUUGGGGAUGGACUCGCGGCUUAUCAGCUUGUUGGUGGGGUAGUGGCUUACCAAGGCUUUGACGGUGAGCCGGCCUGAGAGGGUGACCGGCCACAUUGGGACUGAGAUACGGCCCAGACUCCUACGGGAGGCAGCAGUGGGGAAUAUUGCACAAUGGGCGGAAGCCUGAUGCAGCAACGCCGCGUGCGGGAUGAAGGCCUUCGGGUUGUAAACCGCUUUCGCCUGUGACGAAGAGUGAGUGACGGUAAUGGGUAAAGAAGCACCGGCUAACUACGUG
rnacentral:rRNA from 1 species